rnacentral:rRNA from 1 species
AGCCAACUAGCUAGCCCAAUAAACAAAAACAACAACCAAAUAUUAAUACCCCCAAAUACACAUCAAACCAUUCAAAAUUAAAACAUUUUUCCUCCUUAGUAUAGGCGACAGAAAAGGAUAAACCGGAGCAAUAGAGAAAGUACCGCAAGGGAAUGCUGAAAGAGAAAUGAAACAACCCAGUCAAGCCUAAAAAAGCAAAGAUAAAUCCUUGUACCUUUUGCAUCAUGAUUUAGCUAGAACCAUCCAAGCAAAGAGAACUUUAGUUUGGACCCCCGAAACUACGUGAGCUACUCCAAGACAGCCUAAUUUAUAGGGCAAACCCAUCUCUGUGGCAAAAGAGCGGGAAGAGCUUCGAGUAGGGGUGACAGACCUAUCGAACCUAGUUAUAGCUGGUUGCCUGAGAAAUGAAUAGCAGUUCAGCCUCCUAACUUCUACCUUCAACAAAUUAUAUAUAGAGAUUUCAUGAAAUUAGGAGAGUUAGUCAAAGGGGGUACAGCCCCUUUGAAACAAGAAACAACUUUACCAGGAGGGUAUGGAUCACAGUUAUUAAGGCAUAGUGUCUUGGUGGGCCUAAAAGCAGCCACCCAAUAGAAAGCGUUAAAGCUCGAGCACUAACCCUACCCACAUAUUCAGAUAAUAUAUUCCCAACCCCCUAAUAUUACCAGGCUACCUCAUGCAUACAUGAGAGUAUUAAUGCUAAUAUGAGUAAUAAGAGGGGUACGCCCCUCUCCUUGCACACAUGUACAUCGGAACGAACCCCCACCGAAAUUUAACGGCCCCUAAAAAAGAGGGUAAUGGAUGUAAAAGCAGGGAACCAGAAAACCAUCCAAAAAUUAACCGUUGACCCCACACUGGUGUGCCCUUAAGGAAAGACUAAAAGAAAGAGAGGGAACUCGGCAAACACAAGCCUCGCCUGUUUACCAAAAACAUCGCCUCUUGCUAAUCCAAGUAUAAGAGGUCUAGCCUGCCCUGUGACUUAAAUGUUUAACGGCCGCGGUAUCCUAACCGUGCGAAGGUAGCGCAAUCACUUGUUUCUUAAAUGGAGACCUGUAUGAAUGGCAUAACGAGGGCUUAACUGUCCCCUUUUUCCGGUCAAUGAAAUUGAUCUCCCCGUGCAGAAGCGGGGAUACAACCAUAAGACGAGAAGACCCUGUGGAGCUUUAGGCAUCAAGACAUAUCAUGCUUACUAACCCUUAACUUAAUAAGGCCUCAAAUGAAUUCAUGUCGGUAUGCCUUCGGUUGGGGCGACCAAGGGGAAUAAAAAACCCCCAUGUGGAAUGGGAGCACCAAACCCUCCUAUAACCAAGAAAUUACAAUUCUAAGAAACAAAAUAUUUGACCUAAAGAUCCGGCAAAGCCGAUCAACGAACCAAGUUACCCCAGGGAUAACAGCGCAAUCCCCUUUUAGAGUCCCUAUCGACAAGGGGGUUUACGACCUCGAUGUUGGAUCAGGACAUCCUAAUGGUGCAGCCGCUAUUAAUGGUUCGUUUGUUCAACGAUUAAAGUCCUACGUGAUCUGAGUUCAGACCGGAGUAAUCCAGGUCGGUUUCUAUCUAUGCUAUAUUCUUUUUUAGUACGAAAGGACCAAAAAGGAGAGGUCCAUACUCUAAGUACACCUCACCCCUUCCUAAUGAAAACAACUAAAAUAGGUAAAAGGGAAUACCUCUUAUAGCCAAAAAUAAUGGCAU